GGCAUGAUGCCAGAGUGGUUAAUGGGUUAGACUUGAAUUCACCUUCGAGUAAUCUAAUGGCUUCGGCCUCGCAAGUUCGAAUCUUGUUCAUGUCG